rnacentral:rRNA from 1 species
AGAUUGAACGCUAACGGGAUGCUUUACACAUGCAAGUCGAACGGCAGCGCGGACUUCGGUCUGGCGGCGAGUGGCGAACGGGGUGAGUAAUAUAUCGGAACGUGCCCAGUAGCGGGGGGAUAACUACGCGAAAGCGUGGCUAAUACCGCAUACGCCCUACGGGGGAAAGGGGGGGAUUCUUCGGAACCUCUCACUAUUGGAGCGGCCGAUAUCAGAUUAGCUAGUUGGUGAGGUAAAGGCUCACCAAGGCGACGAUCUGUAGCUGGUUUGAGAGGACGACCAGCCACACUGGGACUGAGACACGGCCCAGACUCCUACGGGAGGCAGCAGUGGGAAUUUGGACAAUGGGGGAAACCCUGAUCCAGCCAUCCCGNGUGUGCGAUGAAGGCCUU